CCAGGUAUGAGUUUUAAAGAACAAGCAAAUUGUUGAAUAUCCGGGAAUAAGUGCGAACAGGGUAAGUGCAACGUUACCCCACCCUGUUCCAGCGUCGAGUUAUGACUUGCAAUCACAGCCCAGUUUUAACGCCGGAUGUCCUUCCUGAUGCAACCCUUCCCAAUUUUAUCCGGGCUUGGGACCGACACUGUCUUGGGGUUGGUUCCCUGGCCAGGAAUCGAACCCUGGCCGCAGUGGUGAGAGCGCCGUGAACCACUAGUCCUCCAGGAACCCAGAUUCACAACCUUUAUGUAACAGAUGCCUCAUCCUCUAUUUCACUAUCAGCACAACAUCUUGUAAAUCAUGGCCAUCUUCUUGCUCAGGGAUAUCAUAGACUGUGAAACUCCUUUUAGCCAUUAUGGUGGCAGCAGAUUGAAAUAAGCAGAGAAAAAUGUGGGUACUGUCCUGUACAGGACCCUUAAAUCAGUUUCACUCCUCCCCUGACAGGUCUGGGUUAUGAUUUCCUGAGAGAAAUAUUAAAUUCCUGUGGACAGUAUGUGUUGUGUUUGUGUACAUUUGCAUGGAAGGCAGACAACAAUUUUGUUCCCCAUGAGGUAGGUGUGUAUGUGCGUGUUAGAGAGACAGAGCAUGCACGAAAUCUUAGUUUAUAGUAGAGAAAAAUAUUUAGUUUGCAUGGGCAGUGUGUCUGUGUGAAUGAGAGAAAAACACUGCACACACAUCCAAGGAAGGGACAUAAACUGUGUGUGUGUGUCUGUCUUCAUCUUCAUUUUUACAUGUUCAUAUCAUGACUACUGAGGAAGUCCUCAAGUUUCAUGAAAAAAAAAGUUUCAUGAAAAAAUUCCAGUAUUUCAAAGUAUUUCAUAGACAUUGAAACUGGAGAACCCAGAAGAAACCCAUGCAGACACGGAGAACAUAUGAAACCACAAAGACAGCAACCUGAACUCAGGAUCAGAAUGGGGACCCUGGAGCUGUGAGGUGACAGUGCUACUGUGCUGCCCUUAGUCCCC